rnacentral:rRNA from 1 species
UACGUAGAAGACUAGUGUUAUUCAUCUUUAAUAGGUUUAAAGGGUACCUAGACGGUAUAAUUAGUCUUAAACAGGAUACGAUUAUACUAGAGUUAUAUAUGAGGAGGUGAGUAUUUAUGCAGUAGAGUUGAAAUUCGUUGAUAGCAUAACGACUGGUAACGGCGAAAGCAACCUUUUAUCUAAUAACUGACGUGAGGGACGAAGGCUCGGGUAACGAACAGG